rnacentral:rRNA from 1 species
AUGACUUCUAAAACCCCCGAUUCUCAUUAUGUGAAAGAUAUUAUGUACUACUUUGAUAAUCCUGAGAAAACCCCAUUAAACUUUAUAAUGGGAGACACGUUGGAUCAACGUGAAUACAUUAGGGAUUAUCGCUUGACACAAAAAGGGAAACUAUUAUGGGAUCAAUUUAUUAUUUUGCGUUGGUAUGCUCGUCAACUAUGCGCGAUGCAUGAUUAUACUUGUUGCUCUAGGAUGAAGGAUCCACACCUUCCCUUUUCAUGCAAAUUCAAUGAUAAUGAAACCUUAGCUUCUUAUGCUAAUGGUAGUUAUGAUUACUAUGAUGUGGAACAAAUAGAAGAAUUUGUUGCUUUUAUGGGUGCUUAUGAGAUUGAAUCUAUGUUUAAAGCUUUUGAUGAUUUUGAUGAUUCAGUUUGUAGACCUGAAAAUUUAGCUAUACUUAGAUAUUGCUAUGAAAAUUAUGAAUACAAUUACUAUAUUAAUGCUUUUAUGAAGAAAUUCUCCGCUGUCCAAGAAGAGACUAAUAUUUUGCAGGAAGCUAUGGAAGAAGAAAUUGAUGAAACUGUGAGCUCAUUGGAUGAAAAAGAUGAUGAGGAGAGCGAAGAACAAAAGGAGGAAGAGCGGAUUAGCUACCCGUGCCCACCUUCUAAUGAGAGUAACCCUCCAACUCAUACAUUAUUUAAUCCCCCUUCGUGCUUACCAAAGGAUGAUUGCUAUGACCCCUUGAAUUUGUUUGAAAUAUCCCUUUUUGAUGAUGCUUGCUAUGCUUGUGGCCAAGAUGCCAAUAUGAAUUAUGCUUAUGGAGAUGAACUUGCUAUAGUUCCUUAUGUUAAACAUGAAAUUAUUGCUAUUGCACCCACGCAUGAUAGUCCUAUUAUCUUUUUGAAUUCUCCAAACUGCACUAUAUCGGAGAAGUUUGUGCUUAUUAAGGAUUAUGUUGAUGGGUUGCCUUUUACCAUCGCACAUGAUGAUUUUGAUGAAUGUAAUAUGCAUGUGCUUUCUGCUCCUACUUGCAAUUAUUAUGAGAGAGGAACUACAUCUCCGCCUCUUCAUGUUUCCAACACUAUAGAAUUGCAAGAAACUGCUUAUACUAUGCAUUGGCCUUUACUAUGUGUGGAUGAAUUGUUCUUUUACGACAUACCGAUGCAUAGGAAGAGAGUUAGACUUUGUUGUUGCUUGAUAUAUGUUACUUUGUGCUCACUACUAAAUUACAAAUCAUUGUUAAUUAAAAUUGGCUUUGAUAUACCUUGGGAUCCGGGUGGAUCCAUUACUUGA